AACCAGACUCCUACGGGAGGCAGCAGUGGGGAAUAUUGGGCAAUGGGCGCAAGCCUGACCCAGCAACGCCGCGUGAAGGAAGAAGGCUUUCGGGUUGUAAACUUCUUUUAUGAGGGACGAAAGAAAUGACGGUACCUCAUGAAUAAGCCAUGUCUAACUACGUGCCAGCAGCCGCGGUAGUACGUAGGUGGCAAGCGUUAUCCGGAUUUACUGGGUGUAAAGGGCGUGUAGGCGGGAAAGCAAGUCAGAUGUGAAAACCAUGGGCUCAACCUGUGGCCUGCAUUUGAAACUGUUUUUCCUGAGUACUGGAGAGGCAGACGGAAUUCCUAGUGUAGCGGUGAAAUGCGUAGAUAUUAGGAGGAACACCAGUGGCGAAGGCGGUCUGCUGGACAGCAACUGACGCUGAGGCGCGAAAGCGUGGGGAGCAACCAGGAUUAGAUACCCGCGUAUU
rnacentral:rRNA from 1 species